rnacentral:rRNA from 1 species
CGGAGGAUCCAAGCGUUAUCCGGAAUCAUUGGGUUUAAAGGGUCCGUAGGCGGUCUAGUAAGUCAGUGGUGAAAGCCCAUCGCUCAACGGUGGAACGGCCAUUGAUACUGCUGGACUUGAAUUAUUAGGAAGUAACUAGAAUAUGUAGUGUAGCGGUGAAAUGCUUAGAGAUUACAUGGAAUACCAAUUGCGAAGGCAGGUUACUACUAAUGGAUUGACGCUGAUGGACGAAAGCGUGGGUAGCGAACAGGAUUAGAUACCCUGGUAGUCCACGCCGUAAACGAUGGAUACUAGCUGUUGGGCGCAAGUUCAGUGGCUAAGCGAAAGUGAUAAGUAUCCCACCUGGGGAGUACGUUCGCAAGAAUG